rnacentral:rRNA from 1 species
UACGUAGGGUGCAAGCGUUGUCCGGAAUUACUGGGCGUAAAGAGCUCGUAGGUGGUUUGUCGCGUUGUCCGUGAAAACUCACAACUCAAUUGUGGGCGUGCGGGCGAUACGGGCAGACUGGAGUACUGCAGGGGAGACUGGAAUUCCUGGUGUAGCGGUGAAAUGCGCAGAUAUCAGGAGGAACACCAAUGGCGAAGGCAGCUCGCUGGAACGGUACUGACGCUGAGGCGCGAAAGCGUGGGGAGCGAACAGG